AAGCUGAUCAGUUAAAUUCAAGGAAUUUGUCCUUCGUUAAAUUAUAAUCUGGAUUCAUCUUAGUACAACUGUCAUAAUAUUGUUAUUAUUUUAAACAAAAACUUUCUAAAUCAUUUUAUAACCUACUCAUACAAAAUUAUUCAAAAUUACCAAAAAAAAUAUUUUCUAAAUUAUGAAAGUAAUCUGAUUUCCUCUACAAAUGAACCAUAUGAACCCUUAACCCUUAACAUUGAAUGAAUAGGUAUUAACCUAAAGAGAUGACAUUGGUGGUGGGCACCCCCUUCAGCAUCAUCUGGGCAACCUUCUGGUUCCUGAUGCUAAUUCUGGUUGCGUUCUGGGUGGCACUGAUAGGUGGAGUUAUGUAUGUCCUCAUAGUGCCGUACUCAGCAUUUGCACCUGAUGCCCUAGCGACAUGUUUAAAUUUUCUCUUCAAAUGUAUGCAAUUUCCACUGUAUUGCACGGUUAUGAUGGCAGAUGGUAAACCCUGGGAUGGGCCCAGCUGAUGUAAUAACAAACGAAUAGUAGGUCGGUCUCCACAGAAUUAAAUAAACGUACGUUGUCUGAAAA